GAUGAACGCUAGCGACAGGCUUAACACAUGCAAGUCGAGGGGCAGCGAGGGCGUAGCAAUACGCCUGUCGGCGACCGGCGCACUGGUGAGUAACACGUAUGCGACCUGCCCCCUACAGGGGUAUAACCCGUAGAAAUGCGGACUAAUCCCCCAUAGUCCUGGGUGCUGCAUGGCAUUCAGAGGAAAGGCCAGCCGGUAGGGGAUGGGCAUGCGGCGCAUUAGCUAGUUGGCGGGGCAACGGCCCACCAAGGCGACGAUCAGUAGGGGUUCUGAGAGGAAGGUCCCCCACAUUGGAACUGAGACACGGUCCAAACUCCUACGGGAGGCAGCAGUGAGGAAUAUUGGUCAAUGGGCGAGAGCCUGAACCAGCCAAGUCGCGUGAAGGAUGAAAGGUUCUAUGGAUUGUAAAACUUCUUUUAAUUCGAGGGUAAAGUGAGGUACGUGUACCUUAUUGCAAGUAUCGAAUGAAUAAGCAUCGGCUAACUCCGUGCCAGCAG
rnacentral:rRNA from 1 species